rnacentral:rRNA from 1 species
AGUGAACGCUGGCGGUAGGCCUAACACAUGCAAGUCGAACGGCAGCACAGUAAGAGCUUGCUCUUACGGGUGGCGAGUGGCGGACGGGUGAGGAAUACAUCGGAAUCUACUUUUUCGUGGGGGAUAACGUAGGGAAACUUACGCUAAUACCGCAUACGACCUACGGGUGAAAGCAGGGGAUCUUCGGACCUUGCGCGAUUGAAUGAGCCGAUGUCGGAUUAGCUAGUUGGCGGGGUAAAGGCCCACCAAGGCGACGAUCCGUAGCUGGUCUGAGAGGAUGAUCAGCCACACUGGAACUGAGACACGGUCCAGACUCCUACGGGAGGCAGCAGUGGGGAAUAUUGGACAAUGGGCGCAAGCCUGGUCCAGCCAUACCGCGUGGGUGAAGAAGGCCUUCGGGUUGUAAAGCCCUUUUGUUGGGAAAGAAACGCAGCAGGUUAAUACCCCGCUGUUCUGACGGUACCCAAAGAAUAAGCACCGGCUGACUUCGUG